AAUCAACGCUGGCGGCGUGCCUAACACAUGCAAGUCGAACGACGAAAGGUUCCUUCGGGGACCCGGUAGAGUGGCGGACGGGUGAGUAACACGUGGGUAAUCUGCCUUUGGGUGGGGAAUAACCCUUCGAAAGAGGGGCUAAUACCGCAUAACGCAGCGGCACCGAAUGGUGACAGUUGUUAAAGUGGGGGAUCGCAAGACCUCACGGCCUGAAGAGGAGCCCGCGCCCGAUUAGCUAGUUGGUNCGGAAUGGCGUACCAAGGCGACGAUCGGUAGCCGGCCUGAGAGGGCGGACGGCCACACUGGCACUGAGAGACGGGCCAGACUCCUACGGGAGGCAGCAGUGGGGAAUUUUGGGCAAUGGGCGCAAGCCUGA
rnacentral:rRNA from 1 species